AUGACUCUCGGCAACGGAUAUCUCGGCUCUCGCAUCGAUGAAGAACGUAGCGAAAUGCGAUACCUGGUGUGAAUUGCAGAAUCCCGCGAACCAUCGAGUCUUUGAACGCAAGUUGCGCCCGAGGCCACUCGGCCGAGGGCACGCCUGCCUGGGCGUCACGC
rnacentral:rRNA from 5 species